GACAGAGGUGCCGAGCGUUAGGCGGAAUCACUGGGCUUAAAGCGUGUGUAGGCGGACUUGUAAGUACCUUGUGAAAUCCCACAGCUCAACUGUGGAACUGCUUGGUAUACUGCUUGUCUUGAGCCACUUAGGGGCAGUCGGAACAGACGGUGGAGCGGUGAAAUGCGUAGAUAUCUGAAGGAACAUCAGUGGCGAAAGCGACUUCCUGGACCAGAACUGACGAUCAGGCACGAAAGCGUGGGGAGCAAACAGG
rnacentral:rRNA from 1 species